CCCUUAGAUGUCCGGGGCCGCACGCGCGCUACAAUGGAUGAAUCAACGCGUCAUCCUGGCCCGAAAGGGUUGGGGAACCGCUGAACCUCAUCCGUGGUUGGGAUUGGGGUUUGUAAUUAUUCCCCAUGAACUAGGAAUUCCCAGUAAGCGCGAGUCAUAAGCUCGCGUUGAUUACGUCCCUGCCCUUUGUACACACCGCCCGUCGCUACUACCGAUUGGAUGGUUUAGUGAGAUCCUCGGAUUGGUCACGGCACGGUGGCAACACUGCGUCGGUGUGCCGAGAAGACGAUCAAACUUGAUCAUCUAGAGGAAGUAAAAGUCGUAACA
rnacentral:rRNA from 1 species